rnacentral:rRNA from 1 species
CUUCGGUGGGGAUUAGUGGCGAACGGGUGAGUAACACGUGGGCAAUCUGCCCUUCACUCUGGGACAAGCCCUGGAAACGGGGUCUAAUACCGGAUAUCACUUCUACAGGCAUCUGUGGGGGUUGAAAGCUCCGGCGGUGAAGGAUGAGCCCGCGGCCUAUCAGCUUGUUGGUGAGGUAAUGGCUCACCAAGGCGACGACGGGUAGCCGGCCUGAGAGGGCGACCGGCCACACUGGGACUGAGACACGGCCCAGACUCCUACGGGAGGCAGCAGUGGGGAAUAUUGCACAAUGGGCGAAAGCCUGAUGCAGCGACGCCGCGUGAGGGAUGACGGCCUUCGGGUUGUAAACCUCUUUCAGCAGGGAAGAAGCGAAAGUGACGGUACCUGCAGAAGAAGCGCCGGCUAACUACGUGCCAGCAGCCGCGGUAAUACGUAGGGCGCAAGCGUUGUCCGGAAUUAUUGGGCGUAAAGAGCUCGUAGGCGGUCUGUCGCGUCGGAUGUGAAAGCCCGGGGCUUAACCCCGGGUCUGCAUUCGAUACGGGCAGACUAGAGUGUGGUAGGGGAGAUCGGAAUUCCUGGUGUAGCGGUGAAAUGCGCAGAUAUCAGGAGGAACACCGGUGGCGAAGGCGGAUCUCUGGGCCAUUACUGACGCUGAGGAGCGAAAGCGUGGGGAGCGAACAGGAUUAGAUACCCUGGUAGUCCACGCCGU